ACCCGCUGAACUUAAGCAUAUCAAUAAGCGGAGGAAAAGAAACUAACAAGGAUUCCCCUAGUAACUGCGAGUGAAGCGGGAAAAGCUCAAAUUUAAAAUCUGGCGGUCUUUGGUCGUCCGAGUUGUAAUCUAGAGAAGUGUUAUCCGCGCUGGACCGUGUACAAGUCUCCUGGAAUGGAGCGUCAUAGAGGGUGAGAAUCCCGUCUUUGACACGGACUGCCAGGGCUUUGUGAUGCGCUCUCAAAGAGUCGAGUUGUUUGGGAAUGCAGCUCAAAAUGGGUGGUAAAUUCCAUCUAAAGCUAAAUAUUGGCGAGAGACCGAUAGCGAACAAGUACCGUGAGGGAAAGAUGAAAAGAACUUUGGAAAGAGAGUUAAACAGUACGUGAAAU
rnacentral:rRNA from 1 species